CCUACGGGUGGCAGCAGUGAGGAAUAUUGCUCAAUGGGCGCAACCCUGAAGCAGCCAAGUCGCGUGAGGGAAGACUGCUCUCGGGUUUUUAAACCUUGUCUGUAGGGAAGAGAAAGGACGGUACCUUAGGAUGAAGCUCCGGCUAACUACGUUCCAGCAGCCGAGGUAAUACGUCGGGCGCCGGCGUUAUCCGGAAUUAAUGGGUGUAAAGGGUGCGUAGACGGGAAAGCAAGUUGGGGGUGAAAUCCCGAGGCUUAAACGAGGAACUGCGGUUGAAACUAGCGUUCUUGAGUGCUGGAGAGGUAAGCGGAAUGCGUGGUGUAGCGGUGAAAUGCGUAGAUAGCACGAAGAACACCAGUGGCGAAGGCGGCUUACUGGACUGCAACUGACGUUGAGGCACGAAAGCGUGGGUAGCAAACAGGAUUAGAUACCCGAGUAGUC
rnacentral:rRNA from 1 species